UACGUAGGGUGCAAGCGUUAUCGGAAUUACUGGGCGUAAAGCGUGCGCAGGCGGUUAUGUAAGACAGGUGUGAAAUCCCCGGGCUUAACCUGGGAACUGCAUUUGUGACUGCAUAGCUAGAGUACGGUAGAGGGGGAUGGAAUUCCGCGUGUAGCAGUGAAAUGCGUAGAUAUGCGGAGGAACACCGAUGGCGAAGGCAAUCCCCUGGACCUGUACUGACGCUCAUGCACGAAAGCGUGGGGAGCAAACAGG
rnacentral:rRNA from 1 species